AGAUGUUGCUGAUUAUAAAAUCCUGGUGCAGGAGAGUCAUUACUCCAAGUCCCUCCUAAUGUAAACUUUAAUUCACAGCUUAAAAAAGGGCCCAGCAUCAAACUCAGCUCCUUUUAAGGAAUGCCUGUAUUUCAUGCUGUGCGGGUAGCUGUGACAUGCGAAGGCUGAACCAGCAUUUCUCUGGCCUGCCCUGCUGAGUGUGCAGUGAGACCCUCCUUGAGGAUACCUCUGAGAGACAGACCAGCAUGGGCUGAGGCAGACUGGGAGCUGUGGUCACUCUACUGGAGCCUUUAUGUCUGUUUCUUCUUGGUGGUAUUUCCCCUCCUAUCAAAAUGAACCUCCAUCCCUGGGGAUUCCCAGAACCUGACAAGACCCUCAAAAACCUGAUCUAACUUAGAAGGCAGCCCUGCUUUGAAUAGGGGAGGUGAACUAGAUACCUUCCAAGGUCCCUUCUUACAUAAAUCAUUCCAUGACUCUAUUCAUGCUCCAUACCUAAAGACUGACAAGGCCCUGAGUGAAUCAAAAAGCUCUAAAUGCCAUCAUCAGCCUCUAACCAUCUUCAUCUGUGACUCCCCCACUACAACCUUUUCCUCACACCCAGGAGUCCGGCUGUCUGUGUUUAAGGUUAGCUCUGAUUUGGUACAGCUGGGUGGCCUUAGACCAGUCUACUGUGAAAACAGCUGAUUUGUGGGAGAGAACAGCAAGAAGCCUCAUCUGGGGCCUCCCAAGGUUGACUCAGGCUCUUGCCUUUGGUCUAUGCCUGAGCUGUGUCGUAGGCAUACCAUGCCCAGCCCUGUGUCUUGCUUUUAUCAUGUUGACUUGACUUUCUGGCUCGAUCUUGGGCUUGCCUCAUCACUACAGACUCGCCUGGCGAUCACUGGACUGUGGAUGACUCUGGUUCUUGUCACUGGACCUGCUCUGCUCUUCUUGCCCAGAUACGCUACUGCAGAUUACACUUGCUAAGCUUUCAAAGCAGGAGAUGCCAGUGCCGGAGGUCAAGUCGUCGCUCUUCUGCUUCCUUACACUUCAGAGUAAACCUGGAUCAUUCUUUUAAAUCAGGCACUCGCGUUUUUCUUACCUGCUUCUGCUGAGCUGAACAGCAAGAGGACAGCAAGAACAACGAGGGGCUUUCUCUUUGGAUCAUCAA